rnacentral:rRNA from 1 species
GCAUCGGGAUUGAAGCUUGCUUCAAUUGCCGGCGACCGGCGCACGGGUGCGUAACGCGUAUGUAACCUACCUAUAACAGGGGCAUAACACUGAGAAAUUGGUACUAAUUCCCCAUAAUAUUCGGAGAGGCAUCUCUCCGGGUUGAAAACUCCGGUGGUUAUAGAUGGACAUGCGUUGUAUUAGCUAGUUGGUGAGGUAACGGCUCACCAAGGCAACGAUACAUAGGGGGACUGAGAGGUUAACCCCCCACACUGGUACUGAGACACGGACCAGACUCCUACGGGAGGCAGCAGUGAGGAAUAUUGGUCAAUGGACGCAAGUCUGAACCAGCCAUGCCGCGUGCAGGAAGACGGCUCUAUGAGUUGUAAACUGCUUUUGUACGAGGGUAAACUCACCUACGUGUAGGUGACUGAAAGUAUCGUACGAAUAAGGAUCGGCUAACUCCGUGCCAGCAGCCGCGGUAAUACGGAGGAUUCAAGCGUUAUCCGGAUUUAUUGGGUUUAAAGGGUGCGUAGGCGGUUUGAUAAGUUAGAGGUGAAAUCCCGGGGCUUAACUCCGGAACUGCCUCUAAUACUGUUAGACUAGAGAGUAGUUGCGGUAGGCGGAAUGUAUGGUGUAGCGGUGAAAUGCUUAGAGAUCAUACAGAACACCGAUUGCGAAGGC